GGGCCGCUAGCUCAACGGCAGAGCAACUGACUCUUAAUCAGUGGGUUCACAGUUCAAAUCUGUGGCGGCUCACCA
rnacentral:tRNA from 1 species